UACGAAGGGAGCUAGCGUUGUUCGGAAUUACUGGGAGUAAAGGGCGCGUAGGCGGCUUCGAUAGUUGGGCGUGAAAUGCCUGGGCUCAACCCAGGAAUUGCGCUCAAUACUGUGAGGCUUGAGUGUGGGAGAGGAUAGUGGAAUUCCCAGUGUAGAGGUGAAAUUCGUAGAUAUUGGGAAGAACACCAGCGGCGAAGGCGGCUAUCUGGACCACAACUGACGCUGAGGCGCGAAAGCGUGGGGAGCAAACAGG
rnacentral:rRNA from 1 species